CGGUCGGCAGAGAACGCAGAGAGAAGCAGAACGCGGCCCACUCCUUCAGGGCCCUCCAGGCCCUCCGGCCCUGGGCCGGCGGGUGAACUGGGGGGCCCCGGGACAGGCCGAGCCCUGUGCCAUGCAGAUACCGGAGGCCUCUGCUGCGGCUGCCCGCUGGCUGUGCCCAGGCCUUGAAGCCGCCGCGAACCUCUCUUCCCCACCCCACCUCGGUGACUGAUGGCGGCGGCGGCCUCUCCAGGCCCGGACCCGGCCGGCCGCCGGGUCUCCCGGCCUAAGCCUGCCGGGCCUCAACGAAACCCCCGCAGAGCCGCCGGGACGCAGCGCCUUUGGGCGGCGGCGGGCGUGGCGGGCCGGGAAGCAUGGCGGCCGCGCGGCGGAGGCCAUUAGGGCGUGUAGGGCCCAGGAAGGCGGCCUAGGGACGCAGGCAGGCUCAGCUGCCUCUUUAGGCCACGAAGCCGCGCAGAUCCGGUUCCCGGGUGACCACUCUGUCGCCAUUGGCCGAAACCUACCUAGUCCUGACGACAACGGACAAAGGCCUUAACGGACCUGGGAGGUGAGCGAAGUCCCAAACGACGACCGGGUGGAACGAUUAGCGGCCAUCGGGCAGUUGGUCUUCGUUCUACCAGAUUUUGCUGUUGGAAGAGAGAAAUGGUAGAAUGACAGGCCAUGUUUGGCCCGCUGGAAAUGCCCGCCACCCUCUGGGAAGAUUUACUGGCCGAUUUUAGAAGGCCUGUGUAUAUAAUAUGAAAAAGCUGCUCUCAACUCCACCCCAACCUUUUAAUAGAAAACAUUUGUCACAUCUAGCCCUUUUAGAUGGAAAGAGGUUGCCGACGUAUGAUAAAGUAGAGUUAGAAAGUCACACAUCUUGUAAAUUCUCAUUUGUUUAAAAGAAAUCAUAGAAAAUACGUGUCUUCUGGAGAUGACUUUUGGAAAUGAAGUUGUUAGACGGCCUCUGGAAGCGAUACGUCCACGUUAAGUGGGUUAGAUGACAUCGAGCUGGAAGACGUGAGAAAGAAAAGAAGGUUCUAUGCUAGACUGGUCAUAUUUAGAAGACAUUUUCAUAUUCUAUCCAUUGUUUUGUGUGAAUUUUAUUCCUCACUACUGUGUAUAUAGUUGACAAUGCUAAGCUUUUUUGAAAUGUCUAUUCUUUUUAGAUGUUCUGAAGUGCCUGAUAUAUGUUAAAAUUAGAGGUAGCAAAAUAACAUUUUGUAAGUAUCUUUUUGUUACAAUUCAUAGGAAAUGUUUUUUGGGGGGAAUGGCCAAGUCACCUGUUGAGUAAUACUCAUUGUGUUUGUGCAGUGGUUCAGGGGAGGAGAGAAGAGGGGGAGGUGCAGAGAGCUCUAUGCCAUCCUGCUUGCAGCGAGGCAAGAUGAAUCAUUAUCUCUGUGCAUUUUGUUUUACUUAUCUGUGUAUAUAGUGUACAUAAAGGACAGACGAGUCCUAAUUGA